rnacentral:snoRNA from 1 species
UAGACAGUAGGGACACGUGGAUGUGGCUCUGUGUUUUCCACUCAGUGAGUCUAAAGCUGCUCUUAAGCAAAUGAAGUCGGGGGUCUGGAACCUUGGUAGGGACUCUGAGGCCUGGCUCCCCACGGUAAGGCUGGGCCAGUAGCACCGCUGGCCUCGCCUUGCCUUGAGGUUGCUGCUGCCCUGCGGCCGGCACGCAGGCCUACAGGCAGGGCUGCGGGUGGGACGGGCAGAAGCCGCAAGAGCCCAGCUUGGAUCUCACG